CACCUACGGGUGGCUGCAACCGGGAAUAUUGCGCAAUGGGCGAAAGCCUGACGCAGCGACACCGCGUGUGGGAAGACGCUCUUCGGAGUGUAAACCACUGUGGCGGGGGAAGAAAUUUUGACUGUACCCCGCUAGAAAGCACCUGCUAACUACGUGCCAGAAGCCUCGGUAAUACGUAGGGUGCAAGCGUUAUCCGGAUUUAUUGGGCGUAAAGAGUUCCGUCGGCGUCUUUGUAAGUUGCUUGUUUAAUCCUGGGGCUCAACUCCAGAACAGCAAGCAAAACUACAAGGAUUGAGUUUGUUCGGGGAAGCUAGAAUUCUCGGUGAAGGGGUGAAAUCCGUAGAUAUCGAGAGGAAUACCAGUCGCGAAGGCGGGUUUCUAGAACAACACUGACGCUCAGGGACGAAAGCUUGGGUAGCAAAAGGGAUUAGAGACCCCUGUAGUCCAAGCCGUAAACGAUCCUUGCUAGCUGCCCUGUAUUUUUGCGCAUGAUUGAGAAAUCAUGCAUAAAAAUAUGGGGUGGCGUAAGCUAACGCGUUAAGCAAGGCGCCUGGGGAGUACGACCGCAAGGUUAAAACUCAAAGGAAUUGACGGGGGAGCGCACAACCGGUGGAGCAUGUGGUUUAAUUCGAUACAAAGCGAAGCACCUUACCUGGGUUUGACAUGUACCUGCACGGUCUGGGAAACCAGACUUUCUUCGAGAGUGGUACACAGGUGAUGCAUGGCUGUCGUCAGCUCGUGUCGUGAGACGUCCACUUAAGUGUGGUAACGAGCGCAACCCUUGCUGUCAGUUACAAGUGUCUGACAGGACUGCCUCCGUACUACGGAGGAGGAAGGAGAGGACGACGUCAAGUCAGCAUGUCCCUUACAUCCAGGGCAACACACAUCCUACAAUGGGGCCGACAACGGGUAGCGACGGAGUAAUCCUGAGCCAAUCCUUCAAACGGCUCCUCGGUUCGGAUUGAGGGCUGAAAUUCGCCCUCAUGAAGCCGGAAUCGGUAGUAAUCGCAAAUCAGCAGGUUGCGGUGAAUACGUUCUCGCUCCUUGUACACACCGCCCGUC
rnacentral:rRNA from 1 species